rnacentral:rRNA from 1 species
GUGACAGCGGAGGGAUCAUUAAAGAGUGUAAUAACUCCCAAACCCAUGUGAACAUACCUCAUGUUGCCUCGGCAGGUCGCGCCUACCCCGCAGACCCCUACCCUGUAGGGCCUACCCGGAAGGCGCGGGUAACCCUGCCGGCGGCCCACGAAACUCUGUUUAGUAUUGAAUUCUGAACCUAUAACUAAAUAAGUUAAAACUUUCAACAACGGAUCUCUUGGUUCUGGCAUCGAUGAAGAACGCAGCGAAAUGCGAUAAGUAAUGUGAAUUGCAGAAUUCAGUGAAUCAUCGAAUCUUUGAACGCACAUUGCGCCCAUUAGUAUUCUAGUGGGCAUGCCUGUUCGAGCGUCAUUUCAACCCUUAAGCCCCUGUUGCUUAGCGUUGGGAGCCUACAGCACUGUAGCUCCCCGAAGUUAGUGGCGGAGUCGGCUCACACUCUAGACGUAGUAAAUCUUUCACCUCGUCUGUAGUUGGGCCGGUCCCCUGCCGUAAAACACCCAAACUUUUAAAAGGUUGACCUCGGAUCAGGUAGGAAUACCCGCUGAACUUAAGCAUAUCAAUAAGCGGAGGAAAAGAAACCAACAGGGAUUGCCCUAGUAACGGCGAGUGAAGCGGCAACAGCUCAAAUUUGAAAUCUGGCUCUUCAGGGGUCCGAGUUGUAAUUUGUAGAGGAUGCUUUUGGCGCGGUGCCUUCCGAGUUCCCUGGAACGGGACGCCUUAGAGGGUGAGAGCCCCGUACGGUUGGACACCAAGCCUCUGUAAAGCUCCUUCGACGAGUCGAGUAGUUUGGGAAUGCUGCUCUAAAUGGGAGGUAAAUUUCUUCUAAAGCUAAAUAUUGGCCAGAGACCGAUAGCGCACAAGUAGAGUGAUCGAAAGAUGAAAAGCACUUUGAAAAGAGGGUUAAAUAGCACGUGAAAUUGUUGAAAGGGAAGCGUUUGCGACCAGACCUUUUCCUAGCGGAUCAUCCGGUGUUCUUCGCCGGUGCACUUCGCUAGGUCGAGGCCAGCAUCGGUUUCUGUAGGGGGAUAAAAGCUCAAGGAACGUAGCUCCUUCGGGAGUGUUAUAGCCCUCCGCAUAAUACCCUUACGGGGACCGAGGACCGCGCUUUUUGCAAGGAUGCUGGGCGUAAUGGUC